rnacentral:rRNA from 1 species
UACGUAGGGAGCAAGCGUUAUCCGGAUUUACUGGGCGUAAAGGGAGCGUAGGCGGCCUGCCAAGUCUGAUGUGAAAUACCGGGGCUCAACCGGAGAAUUGCAUCAGAAACUGUUGAACUUGAGUGCAGAAGAGGAGAGUGGAACUCCAUGUGUAGCGGUGGAAUGCGUAGAUAUAUGGAAGAACACCAGUGGCGAAGGCGGCUCUCUGGUCUGCAACUGACGCUGAGGCUCGAAAGCAUGGGUAGCGAACAGG